rnacentral:pre_miRNA from 16 species
UCCUCACGAGCGUGGAUCUCCGUAGUUUCGAUCGUUUUAUCCAGCGCCACAAACCGUGCGAUAAAUGCAUCUUAACUGCGGUGAUCUGCAAUUCUGGGA